rnacentral:rRNA from 1 species
GAUUCAUCUUGACAGUUGACAGUGCCAUGGAAGUCGGAAUCUGCUAAGGAGUGUGUAACAACUCACCAACCGAAUGAAUUAGCCCUAGAAAAUGGAUGGCGCUUAAACGUAUUACUUAUACUUUACCAUUAAAAUAAAUGCUAAAUUUUAAUGAGUAGGAGGGCGUAUGGAUAAUUUAGAAGAUUAACAGUGAUGUUGAUUGGAAUUAUCUUUAGUGCAGAUCUUGGUGGUAGUAGCAAAUAUUCAAUAGAGAACAUUGAAGACUGAAGUGGAGAAAGGUUUCACAUGAACAACACUUGGAUGUGAGUUAGUCGAUCCUAAACGGUGGGUUAACUCCAAAUACAUGAAUACUUGUAUUCUGUACCGUGAAAGGGAAACAGGUUAAUAUUCCUGUACUAUAUCAAGGAGG